AAAAGUGCCCAUCAAGCUCAAGUCACAAAUAACACAUCAGAAGUUCAGUACAUAAAAGGCUCAUUAUCUGAGAAUCCACAAUAGUCAAGUUGCAAUUCUAAUUUCAGAUCCUUAAUUCACAUUAAGACAACAACAAAAGACCACUUCUCCUAUGAAAUAUAAGAAUAAAAGUACAGCUGAAAACUGCAAGCUGAAGCCCUUUGACACUUUUAACAAAUUCCACAAAUGAAUGAAAGGCCUAUGUGCCAGACCAAAAACCCUGACCCUUGGCAGUAAUGAAAAUACACCUUAAAAUUCCAGGCGGACAGAACAACUAAAAAGCUAGAGAAACCAAGAGAAGAAAAGGGAAAAAAAAUAUAUCCUUAUACCCACCACAUUAACCAAAUUUGAAGCCACCUGGGGGAGCAUUCGGCUGGUUAGUUCCAAAAGCAAAGCCUUGCUGAUUUCCAUCUCCACCAUCUUGAACAUUCUGUUCCUCUUCUUCCUCAGCCCAGUAUCUUUCCAAAAUCUUAACAGCCUUCUCGUAAAUUUCAUUGUUGUCAUGGGUCUGCAGAUUCUCAAUUUUAUCCAAUCCAUCACAUUCAUCUAUCAUUUGUGCAUACAAAUUAACUCCGCCAUUCUUUCCCAUUUCCUUGUCAGCCUCACCCACCUUCAAAAUGUUUUCCAGCCCCUCAAGGCAAACUGUCACAAUCCUGGGGUCUGGACAUAUUAGAAGGUCACAGAGAGGUUUGAUGCAACCUUGGCUCACUAGAAAUCUGCAACAAAAUUAGUGUGGCUAUGUAAGAUUUUUGUCUGCAUGCAUUAAAUCCUGCAAUAUAAGGUUGACACACUGAAUUGAAAUGCAACUUAUUGAGAAUAGAUCCAAAGAACUUAUGGCUAAAUGAGAUAAACAACUUCACAAUUGAUUUAUAAUUAGUUACUUUCAUAGCAACACAAUGUAUCAUUUUCAAAUAGUCAACCACAUGAUUUAAUUACCAAAUGUGUUUUCCUAUGCAUUACAAUCAGGUGGUAUGAAAUCCAAAUGGAUAGAUAUUGGGGAAGGAUGCAAGAGGGAGCACAGAAACAUUAUGGACCAGAAAAAUCAAACAAAAAGGAAGUGGAAAAACUGUACUGAAUCUGUUCAUGAGAUCCUCCUGAGGUCGCAUUUGAGAUA
rnacentral:misc_RNA from 1 species